UACGGGGGGGGCAAGCGUUGUUCGGAAUUACUGGGCGUAAAGGGUUUGUAGGUGGCUUGCUAAGUCAGACGUGAAAUCCCUCAGCUUAACUGGGGAACUGCGUCUGAGACUGGUGAGCUUGAGUGCAGGAGAGGAACGCGGAAUUCCAGGUGUAGCGGUGAAAUGCGUAGAUAUCUGGAGGAACACCGGUGGCGAAGGCGGCGUUCUGGACUGCAACUGACACUGAGGCGCGACAGCGUGGGGAGCAAACAGG
rnacentral:rRNA from 1 species